GAGCCGGAGGGAAACCGAGUCUUAACCGGGCGUUAAGUUGCAGGGUAUAGACCCGAAACCCGGUGAUCUAGCCAUGGGCAGGUUGAAGGUUGGGUAACACUAACUGGAGGACCGAACCGACUAAUGUUGAAAAAUUAGCGGAUGACCUGUGGCUGGGGGUGAAAGGCCAAUCAAACCGGGAGAUAGCUGGUUCUCCCCGAAAGCUAUUUAGGUAGCGCCUCGUGAAUUCAUCUCCGGGGGUAGAGCACUGUUUCGGCUAGGGGGCCAUCCCGGCUUACCAACCCGAUGCAAACUGCGAAUACCGGAGAAUGUUAUCACGGGAGACACACGGCGGGUGCUAACGUCCGUCGUGAAGAGGGAAACAACCCAGACCGCCAGCUAAGGUCCCAAAGUCAUGGUUAAGUGGGAAACGAUGUGGGAAGGCCCAGACAGCCAGGAUGUUGGCUUAGAAGCAGCCAUCAUUUAAAGAAAGCGUAAUAGCUCACUGGUCGAGUCGGCCUGCGCGGAAGAUGUAACGGGGCUAAACCAUGCACCGAAGCUGCGGCAGCGAACGUAUCACCCAAGACAACUUUACGGAGUUGACGAUUGACGGAGCGAAGCGACGUCAAAGCGUUCAUUAAAGUCGAGUUGGCUUAGGGAUACGUUCGUUGGGUAGGGGAGCGUUCUGUAAGCCUGUGAAGGUGUGUCGUGAGGCAUGCUGGAGGUAUCAGAAGUGCGAAUGCUGACAUAAGUAACGAUAAAGCGGGUGAAAAGCCCGCUCGCCGGAAGACCAAGGGUUCCUGUCCAACGUUAAUCGGGGCAGGGUGAGUCGACCCCUAAGGCGAGGCCGAAAGGCGUAGUCGAUGGGAAACGGGUUAAUAUUCCCGUACUUGGUGUUACUGCGAAGGGGGGACGGAGAAGGCUAUGUUGGCCGGGCGACGGUUGUCCCGGUUUAAGCGUGUAGGUGUGUGUUCCAGGUAAAUCCGGUUCACUUUAACACUGAGGCGUGACGACGAGGCACUACGGUGCUGAAGCAACAAAUGCCCUGCUUCCAGGAAAAGCCUCUAAGCAUCAGGUAACAUCAAAUCGUACCCCAAACCGACACAGGUGGUCAGGUAGAGAAUACCAAGGCGCUUGAGAGAACUCGGGUGAAGGAACUAGGCAAAAUGGUGCCGUAACUUCGGGAGAAGGCACGCUGACACGUAGGUGAAGUGAUUUACUCAUGGAGCUGAAGUCAGUCGAAGAUACCAGCUGGCUGCAACUGUUUAUUAAAAACACAGCACUGUGCAAACACGAAAGUGGACGUAUACGGUGUGACGCCUGCCCGGUGCCGGAAGGUUAAUUGAUGGGGUCAGCGCAAGCGAAGCUCCUGAUCGAAGCCCCGGUAAACGGCGGCCGUAACUAUAACGGUCCUAAGGUAGCGAAAUUCCUUGUCGGGUAAGUUCCGACCUGCACGAAUGGCGUAAUGAUGGCCAGGCUGUCUCCACCCGAGACUCAGUGAAAUUGAACUCGCUGUGAAGAUGCAGUGUACCCGCGGCAAGACGGAAAGACCCCGUGAACCUUUACUAUAGCUUGACACUGAACAUUGAGCCUUGAUGUGUAGGAUAGGUGGGAGGCUUUGAAGUGUGGACGCCAGUCUGCAUGGAGCCGACCUUGAAAUACCACCCUUUAAUGUUUGAUGUUCUAACGUGGACCCGUAAUCCGGGUUGCGGACAGUGUCUGGUGGGUAGUUUGACUGGGGCGGUCUCCUCCUAAAGAGUAACGGAGGAGCACGAAGGUUGGCUAAUCCUGGUCGGACAUCAGGAGGUUAGUGCAAUGGCAUAAGCCAGCUUGACUGCGAGCGUGACGGCGCGAGCAGGUGCGAAAGCAGGUCAUAGUGAUCCGGUGGUUCUGAAUGGAAGGGCCAUCGCUCAACGGAUAAAAGGUACUCCGGGGAUAACAGGCUGAUACCGCCCAAGAGUUCAUAUCGACGGCGGUGUUUGGCACCUCGAUGUCGGCUCAUCACAUCCUGGGGCUGAAGUAGGUCCCAAGGGUAUGGCUGUUCGCCAUUUAAAGUGGUACGCGAGCUGGGUUUAGAACGUCGUGAGACAGUUCGGUCCCUAUCUGCCGUGGGCGCUGGAGAACUGAGGGGGGCUGCUCCUAGUACGAGAGGACCGGAGUGGACGCAUCACUGGUGUUCGGGUUGUCAUGCCAAUGGCACUGCCCGGUAGCUAAAUGCGGAAGAGAUAAGUGCUGAAAGCAUCUAAGCACGAAACUUGCCCCGAGAUGA
rnacentral:rRNA from 1 species